ensembl:lncRNA
CACAACCACACCCACAAAUGUCAGUACGUACACACCCACAACUACCACAGCAUCCACAACUACCACAGCACCCACAACUACCACAGCACCCACAACUACCACAGCACCCACAACUACCACAGCACCCACAACUACCACAGCACCCACAACUACCACAGCACCCACAACUACCACAGCACCCACAACUACCACAGCACCCACAACUACCACAACUACCACAGCACCCACAACUACCACAGCAUCCACAACUACCACAGCACCCACAACUACCACAGCACCCACAACUACCACAGCACCCACAACUACCACAGCACCCACAACUACCACAGCACCCACAACUACCACAGCACCCACAACUACCACAGCAUCCACAACUUUAAGUACACACCCAACCACCGAUCUCACAACCCAUAUUGUGGACGGUACAACAACGAGCAGUGGGCCUAGAUACGUUGUUGUACUGAGGAUAAAACUGUCCUCUCUGAUCCCACUAACAGAUGACUACAUCAGAAAUGUGGUUUUACAGCAGGUCAGUGUCAGAUCAGACAGGUUUCUCCUCAGCUCUACCUGAUAAUCACUGUGUGUGUUGUGUUUCCAGCUCCGUGAGGAACUGAUCAGACAAGGGCUGCCAGGGGACUUCGCGCUACGCCUGAGAGCCACUCAUGGGAUCAGUUCCUGAGGGAGGAACAGGAAUUCAGAUCAACAUUCUUCACUCCUACUUGUCUUGUCUUCCUGGUUCUGAUUCUGCAGAAAGUUCUUCUGAAGAAGAAGUGGUUCCUUAUAAUGACAGAAUAUGGUUGAUUUGUACUAAUCUCUUGGGACAGACGCACGUAACAUGAAUUAUGAUUUUUGUUCUGGAUUGCCAGGAUUAGUUGAAUGGACUGACAGUGCUUCUGACUGGAUGUUAGUUGAAUGACUAACAUGACUGGGGUUCUUUACUGUUUGGUAACAUACAGAGGUAGACUGGGGUUCUUUCCUGUUUGGUAACGUACAGAGGUAGACUGGGGUUCUUUCCUGUUUGGUAAUGUACAGAGGUAGACUGGGGUUCUUUCCUGUUUGGUAAUGUACAGAGGUAGACUGGGGUUCUUUCCUGUUUGGUAAUGUACAGAGGUAGACUGAGGGUCUUUACUGUGUCAAGAAUGGUUGGUUGAGGCUCAGUUUUCUGUGACAUUUUAGUGACAGAGGACACCGGUAGGGAGGACCCACUUGUAAACACCCACACACACUCAGGAAGACGUUUCACUUUCACUCACACAUGGAGCAUAAAGAGGAAUGAACAAUGAGGUUGAAUUGACACUGACGAAAGAGAAGAAGAAAUGAAUUGACACUGACUAAAGAGAAGAAGAAAUGAAUUAACACUGACUAAAGAGAAGAAGAAAUGAAUUGACACUGACUAAAGAGAAGAAGAAAUGAAUUGACACUGACGAAAGAGAAGAAGAAAUGAAUUGACAUUGACUGAAAGAGAAGAAGAAAUGAAU